AACGUCGUUCCGAACGUGCGCACCUGUUUCGAUUAUCUCGUUUACAUUAUUUUACUUCUCUCGCGUGAUACCUUGAAAAUCUGAUUUGUCGUGACGGCGAUUCUAAAGGAAGCAAAAGGAAGUAAAUAAGCAGCAAUACGUCGAGAGGAAGGAAAAAAAAAAAGAAAAAAUAAGAAAAAAAAAAAAAAGAAAAGUGUGUCGUUUACUCUCGUUCGAACGACAUCGAUGAAUAAUACAAGAAAAUAAGAUAUAGAAAGAAAAAGAAGAGAGAAAAGAGGAACGAAAAAGAGAACAAAAAAGAGAGAGAGAGAGAGAGAGAGAGAGAGAGAAAAAAAGAAAAAAGGAAAGGAAAGAAAGAGCGUAAAAUCAACGAGAAAAAGUCGGAGUUUCUACUACCAAGUCGAAGGAAGGACAUUUGAAAAUGAUGGAUAUCAGGAUAAUGUUGAUAUUUUUGUUUCUGUUUUGUCUUGUGCCAAGAUCGACCGUCGGUAAAAGUCGUAUGAUCAAUUCAGAUCUUUUCUACUUUCCCGACCAAGCGGAUUAUAUAAGACGAGCCGACAAAUGUUCGGAUAACAUGAUUUUGUGGCUAGGAAAUGGUCAAUGUUACAAAGAAGGUGAAAGAGGACCCUGCAAUGUCGGCCGUGUUUUAGUAAUCGACAAACAAUUUUUUAAACCCUACUGCAAGGAUAUUCUAUAAUGAUUUCUCUAUUGCUGCGAAAGAUGGCAGCACUCAUGGAAAUCUACUGUUAGAUCGUAUGUAGGAAAAUUGUUUUAACAGAAUCGACGCAGAGAUGACAGCACUGUUCGUAUGAAAAACAUUUUCCCGGCGGGAAACUUUGAAUAAAGAGCUUCCCUACGAAUUCGCAGAGUGGCACCUCAAAUAUAAAUUUUCCUUACACUACGUGGGACGUACUCGUGAUCGCGCCAUCAUGUCUUUUAUUUAUCUUUUAAAAUGAAUACGCGAUAAAUUGUUCCGCGUACGAUAAAGAAAAUUUUUAUUAUUAAAAUUUUUUUUCUUUUUUCCUUUUUAAUUAAAAAUUUUGUCAUAAUUACCAAUGGACUGUCGAGAGCUUUAAUUUGUUACUCUUCCGAUUUGAUCUACUUAAAGCUGACAAUUAUAUAGAAAAAGAAGGUAUAAUAUUGAAUAUCGCUAACUCGCAUAACAAGUUAGAUGAAUAAUAAAGUUUCAGUAUCAGUUGUCUCAUUAUGAAAA